CUCCAAACCCAAUCCAGAAUCCUUCAAAUGGCAAGGCUCCUCCUUCUAACGCUACAUCUGACAGCACGUAAGGUGGAGAAAUACCGAUCCUGACUGAGUUGGCGCAAGUCUUGGAGAUCCACACCAGGAACAUGAUCUGAUGAAAAAUACAAUGAACCACAUACUCAAUUUUCUCAUCAAACUGACAUCCGAGUUAGGCAGUAUCGGUGUACCUAGUUCGAUUUGUUCCACUGAAGUGAAUCCACGAAUUGGUGAUCGAGUUUAAGAUGGAUACACGUAAUUCAACUCAAGGAAAAGUGAGAUAUGCAGUAUGGGAACACUUUGAGAAACUGGACUCUACAACAGCAAAGUGUAGGCACUGCUCAAAGAUAUAUGCUGCUGAUGCCAUGAAAAAUGGGACAUCUAAUUUGAUAGCUCAUAUAAAAAGAUGCCCGUUCUUUCAAGUAAUGGAGCGACAAAGAUCUUGAUGUUCAUGUUUUAUCUAUGUCGCAAUCCUGCAUAUUUAUGGACGGAAGUGAAAGUGGUGUGAAACUUUUGUUUUAAUGUCAAACACACAACUUUAAACUGCUUGUUUCAGGAGUUUAACUUGUAACUUAUUUUAAACCUUUGAUUCUUAAGAACAUAUGAUGUAAUUACAGGUAAAAACCCGGUACCGGUGUUGUACCGGACCGGUACCGGAGGUACAGGUAUAGGUCC